AUUGAACGCUGGCGGCAGGCUUAACACAUGCAAGUCGAGCGGAAACGAUGUAGCUUGCUCCAGGCGUCGAGCGGCGGACGGGUGAGUAACGCGUAGGAAUCUGCCUAGUAGUGGGGGACAACAUGUGGAAACGCAUGCUAAUACCGCAUACGCCCUACGGGGGAAAGGAGGGGAUCUUCGGACCUUUCGCUCUUAGAUGAGCCUGCGUAAGAUUAGCUAGUUGGUAGGGUAAAGGCCUACCAAGGCGACGAUCUUUAACUGGUCUGAGAGGAUGGCCAGUCACACUGGGACUGAGACACGGCCCAGACUCCUACGGGAGGCAGCAGUGGGGAAUAUUGGACAAUGGGCGCAAGCCUGAUCCAGCCAUGCCGCGUGUGUGAAGAAGGCCUUAGGGUUGUAAAGCACUUUCAGGGGUGAGGAAGGGUGUUUGGUUAAUAUCCAAACAUUUUGACGUUAGCCCCAGAAGAAGCACCGGCUAACUCUGUG
rnacentral:rRNA from 1 species